UGGGGAAUAUUGCACAAUGGAGGGAACUCUGAUGCAGCGACGCCGCGUGAGCGAAGAAGGUUUUCGAAUCGUAAAGCUCUGUCCUAUGGGAAGAUAAUGACGGUACCAUAGGAGGAAGCCCCGGCUAACUACGUGCCAGCAGCCGCGGUAAUACGUAGGGGGCAAGCGUUGUCCGGAAUCACUGGGCGUAAAGGGUUCGCAGGCGGAAAUGCAAGUCAGUUGUGAAAGGCAGAGGCUCAACCUCUGUAAGCAAUUGAAACUGUAUUUCUUGAGAUGUGGAGAGGCAAGUGGAAUUCCUAGUGUAGCGGUGAAAUGCGUAGAUAUUAGGAAGAAUACCGGUGGCGAAGGCGACUUGCUGGACACAAACUGACGCUGAGGAACGAAAGCGUGGGUAGCAAACAGG
rnacentral:rRNA from 1 species